AUUGAACGCUGGCGGCAGGCCUAACACAUGCAAGUCGAACGAGUGGCGGACGGGUGAGUAAUGUCUGGGAAACUGCCUGAUGGAGGGGGAUAACUACUGGAAACGGUAGCUAAUACCGCAUACCCUCGGAUGUGCCCAGAUGGGAUUAGCUAGUAGGUGGGGUAACGGCUCACCUAGGCGCCGAUCCCUAGCUGGUCUGAGAGGAUGACCGGCGGAACUGGAAACGAGACACGGUCCAGAGUCCUACGGGAGGAAGCAGGGGGGAAUAUUGCACAAUGGGCGAAAGCCUGAUGCAGCCAUGCCGCGUGGAUGAAGAAGGCCUUCGGGUUGUAAAGUACUUUCAGCGGGGAGGCGUUACCCGCAGAAGAAGCACCGGCUAACUCCGUGCCAGCAGCCGCGGUAAUAC
rnacentral:rRNA from 1 species